rnacentral:misc_RNA from 1 species
GCGCCAUAGGCAAGAGGG